AGACUGCAGCGCCAGGAGUAGUCGGGCCGAGGGCCACGGGCGCGGGUGCCAAGACUGAAGGCCUCGUCGGUCUCUGCUGGUCCUCGGGAGGAUUUUUCACCAUGGCCGCCGAUCUCGCGUCCGACCCAACUGUCGAACUUCCUCCAAUCCGUAAGCUCAUCUGCCCCUACUGGACCAACUCACUGGCUUGCGAUGGAGAUGCAACUAUUGCCCUGCAGCUUGUUCUACUCUACAUGGUCUGUAGCUCUGUUUGGUCAAACAGUGCAAAGUUCAAACCUAUACUAAAUCUCCAUAUGCUUCGUAUGCAUAUUAUGUUGUCAAAUCCAGGCAUAAUAUUCACGGGUAGCUUGUGUUAUCAUGCAGGUCACUUAACACCCCGUAGUUGAUGCUUCCAGGUGUACCUUGUCAGAUGUUGAGGAAAUUUACUAAACAAUUGAAUGGGGAGGACUCAAGUUGGAAUAUCUUCAAUACUCUCUUUUUGGCUAUUGAAUCAAUAGCUGGUUCUAUGGUGGAGGUAAAGUGUGUCCUUUUCUAAGCAAUGCAUGCUUGCACUUCUAUUUACAAUUGAAUCGUCCACAAACUUGACCGGAUCGUGGCAGUACCACCGCCUACCAUUUCCUUGUCCCUGAGGUGCGAGGCCACCGCGUACUUCUCCCCUCUCCUGGAUCACUCUUCCUCCGGAGUCCACAAACCGCAGCCAAGAAAUCCACUAAGCAGAAAAACAUGAUGCGAGCCUCUCCGCCUGGCACGUGUCUGUCACUGGAGUGGAGUACAGAUUAAUCCGCACUGAAGUCACGGUGCUGCCUAACUUCCUUGGAUGUUUUCUGGACAGAGGCACUUUGUAUUCAGGUGCUGGAGAGGAUGGUGGUUGAUUUAAAGUUCGGAAGUAUGAUGCACAUCUAUAGAUUGCUAUUAAGAUGAAAGCUAUAGAUUAUGCCAAAUGAGUCCGUGGAGGCAGUCCCAAACUGCUACUUGAUGGAGGAACUUCGAUACCCAGGUUGGUGUUGUCCUUGGUUAUGGCACCCCAAGGUCUGAAUUUUGGCUAUACCCAUCGAGAGCUUCUAUUGCAUUUUUUUUUUGUCAUUCUUUGUAAUCUUUCACUCUAUUGGGUAAAUUUUAUUGAGUAGUGCUCACUGCUUCUAUUACGAUGAGCGUGAGAGGGUCCAUGGAAAUGCAUCCUGAUGUUCCUUAUUUCUCUAAUCUCAAGGGAGAUCACCUCAGUUGAUCGAUGUAUAAGUAUAUGUACUGGUUUCUGAAUUCAAACGUGCAAGGGAGAAGGUGCAUGUGGAGGGGUAUGGUGUUGCGCAGGCAUAGGAGAAGUAAAUGGUGCGGACGGCGUCCGCAACCGCUUCAUUGGGCUGGUUCAGGACGUAAUACUCUGUAAUAGAUAUGUAUGGUGCUCGGAUCCUCUUCAUUUCCUCCCGAUGACCCUAAAUUUGCAACAUUAUUUCUAGAUAUGAAUCAUGGAACAACAACAGUUAUAGAUAGUGAAAAGGCACGAUAAAUAUUAAAUUAUGUAUGAUAUUAUAAUUUCUGAGCUUUUGCUUAGAUGGUGUAACAAAUG